GAUGAACGCUAGCGGCAGGCUUAAUACAUGCAAGUCGAGGGGCAUCAAGGUACACGAAAGUGUAUUGUUGGCGACCGGCGGACGGGUGAGUAAUAGGUAGGUAACCUACCUCAUACUGAGGCAUAGCUGGGAGAAAUUCCAGGUAAUUCCUCAUGAGGUUAUAUGACACAUGUGAUAUAAUCAAAGGUAUCGCAAGGUACUGGUGUGAGAUGGGCUUACUGACCAUUAGCUAGUUGGUGAGAUAAGAGCUCACCAAGGCGAAGAUGGUUAGGGGUUUUGAGAGAGAGAUCCCCCACAUUGGAACUGAGAUACGGUCCAGACUCCUACGGGAGGCAGCAGUAGGGAAUAUUGGGCAAUGGGCGGAAGCCUGACCCAGCCAUGCCGCGUGAAGGAAGACGGCCUUAUGGGUUGUAAACUUCUUUACUAUGCGACUAACUAGAUUUACGAGAUAAUUCUAUAGAAUGUAGCAUAGACAAAAAGCACC
rnacentral:rRNA from 1 species